GCACUCCAACCUGGGGACAGAGCGAGACUCUGUCUCAAAAAAUAUAUAAAUAAGUUCAGUUCAGUUCUAACUGCAAUUCCUGAACUACUUUUGCUGGGCCUGCAGGAAUUAAUGGAGCACACCAGCUUUUUAUCCUUAAACCAAUCUUGGAUUUUAGCCUCCCUGGUAUUUUAAGUGUGUUGAAUACACUCUCACAAAUAGAAUUUGAGUCAUAUUUCUCUCUCUCUGCCUAACUUCUCCAAUAUUUGUAAAGUAUUCAUGAAUAUUCUUAAUUCAUGUGUUCGUUUGCAUACAUUUAAGCAGGGUCACCAGGGUCGCUCAGGGAGAGAACGCAGAGGCCUGGCAUGCAGGCGCAAGAGUAAGAAUUUCUUACCAGUCAGUCUUGGGCCUCUUUCUCUCUAUGCAAACUGGUGAAUCUCCUCUGUGAAGUGAGACCAUCACACUUAUGAUGGUGCAACAAAGGUUCCAGCCAGUUCCAGGUGAAGACACCACCACUGGCCAUCAGAAAGCUACCCUGCCUCCACUAGUUGGAGCAGGGCGAGAGUUCCAUGAUCCCCAGUAGGUGGGGACUACACCUGGAGCCAGCAUGAAGCAGUUACAGAAAAAAGACCAUCGGUCCUUCUGCCUCCCACAAAGAUUUAUGGGGAUCACGUCUCUCAGAGGGGAGAUGAGGCAGUAAAAUAGGGUGUGGAGGCAGGAAACAUAAGGCCGAUUCAUACUUCAGCUAUGACAGGAAAUAUCCUCUCUAUAGAGCAUACGCCGAGUAAAUGACUUUGUAACUUUACUUCAUCCUCUUCAUUUACAUAGGGCGUACCCCAAGUAGAGGGUAUUUAAACUCACAAAAACUCUGUAACAGGGCCUUCGAGCCCCUAUGCUUGGGCCCGCUCCCACAUUGUGGAGUGUACUUUCAUUUUCAAUAAAUCUCUUCGUCCCUUCCUUGCUUUGUUUGUGUGUUUUGUCUGAUUCUUCAAGACGCCAAGAACCUGGACACCCACUACCGUUAACAAUUUUAGAGCCGAAUCCUCCAGCAGGGACUGUAAAAGAUUGGAUGCUGUAUGCAUGAUACAAACCCUUCACUCUUCAGGAAGAAGCUGGGAGUUGAGGAUUCAUUCCUGAUUGUAAGGAGCUAUGCUGAAGAUGGGAUUUGUGGAUGAGUACAUGUCCACUCUUCCUGCCUGUUUCAAUGUGGAUAUUUUUCUCAGUUGUUUGGUGUUCAGGAGUCUUUCAACUAGUUUCUGGCUUUCUCCUGGAGGGAACUGAUCCAUGUGUUUAUUUGGUGCAUCUGUGGGAGGAGGGGUAGCCAGGAGCAACUAUUUCUUCAUGUUGCUGAUGCCACUUUCCAGAAUUUUGUUUUGAGCAAGUGGCUUGAAGUAAGAGAAUACGGUAAAUGAUUUUUAAGGUCUUAAUCUCCUUAAGUUAAGGAGACUGUUUUAGCAAAUAUGUUUUGGAGCAGAUAUCUGUCUAGAAUCGCUAGCACCUAGAGACAGAGACACUAACCAGAAGAUGUUCCUGAAAUACAGGUGGCAAAGAUUUAAUCCAGGCAGGUGGUUUUCAAAAAUAACAAUAAGGGCUAAGUCCAAGAAUUGGCAUAGUUUAUACAUAACCAUAAUGUUUAUAUUUAUUUUUCUCCAAAUAAGGCAUUUCACUGCAUAAUAUGUAGCUAUGCUUUUUGAGUAAGAGGAAAUACAUAUUAAACAUUUCUAAAGCAUCUGGAAAAAUACCCCUUUCCCCCAUCUGUUCUAGACAGUUAAACCUACUUUGGACCAGCUGAAUUUUCCACAAUAGUUUCUUUGGAUAUUAAAAUGACUGAAUUCUCCAAGCAGAAAAUGAAAAUCCUGAAAUAGAGACGGAAUAACAAGUAUUACUUCUGUUCAAUCAAAUAUAAAAUUUAAGUGCACAAUUAAACUCCUUCUGUUUAUGUGCUUUAACAUUUAAAUCUUCUUACCCCAUGCAAUAACUGAAACUACCUGAUGGAAAAUAACCAAUCUGAGACUGAAUAAAAUGAAUCUAGUGGUCUCAGGGACGAGCACAGUUAGUCAACUAGUGUUAGUAAAAUCCAUUUUUAUGUCUAAUUUUGAUUGCAAGUCAUUAGGUCAGCACUGAGUUUAAGAAUGUGGCCCAAGAGAAAAGCUGAAACAUCAUGUUCUCACUCUUUGCAACUUUAGCCCCAUCUGGUUGAAAAUUUCUGCGGUGGUUCCCAGAACAGCUUUUAGAUAACACUGAGGCAUUUGAAAGGAGCUUUCUAAGGACCAAAUAAUCUUCAAAAAUUUCAAAAGAAAAACCAAAUGCUCUUCUAAGCUUUUGCUACUCAAGAUGCUUAUUGUGGGCCGAUCGUAUCGACAUGUCCUGGGACUUGUCAGACUUGCAGAAUCUCAGGCCCCACCCAGGCUUACUGAAUCAGAAAGUUCUUUUUCACAAGAUCCCCAGGUGAUUUAGAUUAAAAGUUGGACCUAUUAAGUCUUGUUUUAAGCUCUUUGAACAGGUUUUGGUUGGGGGUGAGAGAGUUCCAUGUUUUAAGAGAUAAGUGCUGAUUCUUUGGGAGGAGAUUUUCAUUGCAGCUAUGCAACUGAACAGCUCACUGGGAAAAUGCAGAAAAGGAAAGAGCCUCUUUAAGAUCACAGCCUCUGGUGGCAACCAUGCUCAGAGGACUAACCCAUUCUGUGGUACAGUGGAGUUUCUUCACGCCUUUAGGUCACUUAUCAAGUUUAAAUGAAACCUGCCUAUUUCUGCAUCAGGCAGGAGCUAUUAAUGCUUUCUCCACAGAUUUGCAAACCCAUGUGUUUGUCGUUAUGCAUUUAAGGAUUAGCAGCCAUCUUCAAGGGGCUAAUCCUUCAGCGCCUGAUCAGACAAGAGAAAAUAAUUAGACCUACAAAUAGCCUGACUUUUUAAUUGCACAAAAAACAUUUCCCUCCUCCCACAGGAGGACACAGAUCAUUCCAUAAUCCAAGACAUGGAGAGAUGCUAACUGAGAUGCGUGACAGGGUCCAAAUUCAGUCUUUUUCCAAUUUUUCAAAGUGCAAUUCUGGCCCAAACCUCUGCACAAGCAUAGAACCCUGCCAGUUACAUCUUGUGCAGUAUGAGGAAAUCCUUUCCAUUUUAGUCUCUGGCAGUCAGGACCCCUCUAUUUUGUUUUGAGAUUGAUUUUCUAGCUAAAACUUUGUACUUUUUGUCCCCAAAGAUCUUCAUGGGCAGAACAGACAGAGCUGGAUGGGGUGGAUGAGGAGAGGGCCAGGUGGACAAAUGGCUUCAUGCUGAGGAUGCAGCACAGGAAUGGGCUUGUGGAGAAGGCUCUUUCCUUCAUUUCUCUUCUUGGAUCUCUUCUAUCACAAGGGAUAUGUCAACCCUUCAUGCUCUCACCAUUAUAAUAGUAACUUUCGUGAUCUAAUUUAGUUAGCUCAUCAGUGUGAUUCCAUUCACAAAUGACUACCUAAAAUGAUAUCUAAAUUUCAAAUAAUAAUUGUAAUUUAACCGUCACUUUAACUGAUUGCCCAGCCUGCCAUUUUAGGACUUUAUUAUCAUGCUCUGCUUAGAUAUUUAAAAGGGUCUUCACUGAAUCAGCCUAAAGCUUCUGAAAAUCCCUACUAAUGAGUUACCACGUGGAACCUUCACAGAAUUCCUAAGCCUCAGUGUUCCAUAAUAGAGACAGGCAUAGAGGGAAGAAUGCUGACUUUGAAGCAAGAUGCACCGAAGUCAGCAUCUUAGCUCUGUCAUCUUGGACAUUCAUUUACUCCUUAAACAGUUUGCCCUCAUUUGCACAGAGCAAGGAAGCCUUCAAAGUAUUCAGCCAGUGCCGCGUUGUUAUCUGUUACCUGCUACAACCUUGAAAAUGAGGUGAGGUGAGGUGAGUGGAUUUCUCUAACUCUGGUCCAACCGAGUGGCUGGGACAAGCCACUGAUGACUCGUCACCUCAGUGACAGCCAGCAGAACUUAGCCAGCCUCCUAGAAUCUGAUGACCAAGUUGUGUCUCUUUGAACUUUGAUUUUCUUCUGGGUUCUCGAUCUAUUGGUAAUGGUGAGACGUGGUGAAAAGGGUUCUAAAAUUAGUCCAAGUCCCACUUUUUUCACUGAAAA